rfam:Homo sapiens chromosome 1, GRCh38 reference primary assembly.
GUCUCUGUGGCACAAUCGGUUAGCGCGUUUGGCUGUUAAUCUAAAGUUUGGUGGUUAGAGCCCACUGAGGGACG